UAGUCACGUGAGGUGAAGUGUGAGAGUGGAACACACUGCAUCACAUGUGACCUCC
rnacentral:pre_miRNA from 1 species